rnacentral:misc_RNA from 1 species
GUAGGUGAACCUGCGGAAGGAUCAUUCAUAAUAUUUACCAUAUUAUUUUUUUUUUUUCAUUGUGUUUGUUGUUUUUCGAAACAACAAAAAGUGGGAUAAUGAAAAUCGAGGGAUUGAGGCAUACGAGGGCUUAAAAAGGGUAAAAAAAAACACCCAAUUUAUGUGCACUGUAUUCAGGCUGAUGUUGUUUUUACAACUCUUUCCUGAUUUAAUUUCUUAUAUUAAUCUAUAAUGAAAUUUUUAUUAUUUA